UUAAGUCCAAAACUUGGGUAACAUCAUAAUAUAGUGGGAGGAGUCUGUUGGUGGGUUUUGAGUGAAAUCCAAUCUCUAGAACUGUGCAUUACACCAACCACUCCAUUUCAGAACGAACUUCGUACGAACCUGAAUUGUCCGAUUUCAUAGACCAAUCGAUAAGGGAUUCAGUCCAAAACCUGGGGAACAUCAUAAUAUUAUGGGAGUAGUCAUUUGGUGGUUUUGAGUGAAAUCCAAUCUCAAGAACUAUACAAUACACCAACCACUCG
rnacentral:lncRNA from 1 species